CAAUAGCAGCUGCUUAGAGCUGCUACCCAGGAGGCUCCGGAGGGGAAUUUUCCACUGCCCAGUUUGAUUUAGCUCAGGAUUUAGCUCACGCCUGCGCUGCUGCCUUGACUGUAAACAGUGCAGCCAGCAGGAAGGUGGGGGAGCCCUCCAAGGGGGCUGCAGCCAGGCUGGAGCAGGGGCGAAGGUGUGGGCAGGGUGGGCUUGAGGUGCAGGUUUUGACGGCGCCCUGGGUCUACCUCAGCAGCCUGCACCUGGAAGGCUGAGGUGAUUUGGAGGUGCUGGGGGUGGACAGGACACUUUUUGCAUAGGGAGAAGAGUCCCAAGGCCCUGGUUGGAGGAGGUAGGGGACAGAAGCCAAGGAGUCGCCUCCCUCCCCCUGUUGCUCUCUUUCUCAGGACGUCUAAGAGGUGCCCCGCGUGGGUGCAGGAGCCUGCAGGGAAAGACUGGCUGAAUGCAAGACUUUGAUGAGACCCCAAGCUCAGAUCUUACAAGGUCCAUGGGACCAAGGGGCUCUCAGCACCCUCCCCAAAACGUUGUCAAUAUCUGGAUUGAUGGAGUAUAGGGUGAAGCUGAAAGAGAUACAGUGUGAAGAUGAAAGAGAUUCGGCUUUCUGUGUGUUGACUCUCCCUGGAGUAAACUUCUACGGUCUAAGUUGACUCCUCUGGAGACCCCAGACUCCAGUGAGGUGAUUCUGGAACCUGCUUAGAUUGCUACUUAGACAUCAGCCUGACCAGAGGAUUGCAACACUCAGCCCGACCAGUGAGCAACAUGAUGAGGGUUCCAUGAUCAGGAGAGGCUUAGGGGUAGGUAGAAAAAAAGAAGAAUCAGAAGAAGGGUCUUCAUAGACCUCCUGGACACCUCCUGUGGAAUCACAGAUAAGGCAAAAUGUGUCCUCCUGACCCCAGGUUUCCAAGAUGCAUUUGUAUCAAAUCACUGAAGUAUCUACAGAAGGCCAGGGUCCCAGGUUUCAAAGGACCUUAAGAAGCAGAAGUUGGUGGGGACUGAAUUCUAACCAAUCAAAAGAAAGGAAAGGCUGGAAUUCCUCUCCCUUGCACCUGCCCUUCUCUGGGAAGCACUUGACUCACUGCUUCUUCCCCUAGUUUUCUCAAAAGGGCCCAAAUGGAAUCUGGGCAUCCCCUGUACCUUGUGGACAGGAAAGGUCAACCUGAAGACCAUCAUUUCCUUUAUGUUGAUGAAUGCCCACUCCAAAGAGCCCCAGCCUAAACAUGACCAUGUCUGCUAGUUAAUUCCCUACCCAACCAGGGACUCAACACAAAUGUAUUUGUCAAUUGAGUCAGAAGACCAGAACCUUGGGAGAGGACAUGCAGAGAUAGCCACAAAUAAAACAAAUUCCCACUGGGCCCGGUGGCACACACCUGUAAUCCCAGUGGGUUUGGGAGGCUGAGGCAGGAGGAUCGCAAGUUCAAAGCCAGCCUCAGCAAAAGCAAGGUGCUAAGCAACCUAGUCAGACCCUGUCUCUAAAUAAAAUACAAAACAGGGCUGAGGAAUGUGGUUGAGUGCCCUUGAGUUCAAUCCCCGGGACCCCAAAACAAUUUUUUAAAACUUUUUUAAAUAAAUAAAAUAUAUUCCCACAAACCUGCUCCUUUCCUAGCACUCCUUUAAGCUCUAUAAGUUAUACCACUUUCCACCAAUUUUCCAGAAACUAAAAAAUCAUCUUUGACAUCCAUCCAAUCAGACACCUCCUAUUUAUCACCCAAACUCAUUCUUGCAAUCUUACCACCCCACUGUGACUGCCCUCAUGGGCCCUUGGUAUGCCUCACCCAGAUUACAGAAACUCCCUCCCAGCAAGUAACUCUGAGCAGUCUUCUUCAUUCCAGUCUCUCUGGAUUAGCUGGGGAAACACACACACACACACACACACACACAUAUAUGUGUAUAUCUGUGUGUGUGUGUCUUAAGUCACCUCAGUUACCUGCAUUUUUUGUUGUCUGCUAUUUCAAGACAAAAUUUUGAAUUCACUAGGAAACAUACAAAUGCUUUUUUCACCCACUGAACACAGCCUAUCUGCUACCAUUUCCCUGGUCUCCAGUCAUAGCUACUGACAUCCCAUAAACAGAUCCUGCUGGACUUCUAAUCAAGAUGGAGUGGUGAGUUCUCUGUUCUAACCAGUGAUGAAUAAAACAUUCUAAUAUAUAACCCAACACACAGAGUUGGGCUCAGAAACAAGGUGAACUUUCUGUGAGCCAGAAGCAGAACAGAGCCCAAAAUCACUGCGUGGGAAACGUGACGGAGGUGCUGCUGGGCUCUGGGUCCCAAAGGAUUGUUAAAAAAGGCAGGAGCACAGUUACCUUUGAAAGGACCGGAAGGAACACUAGGGGCCUUCUAGAGGUCAGUAGUAUGCUUUUCUUGCUCUGGGUUUGAUGUAGGAUAGAAGGAAUUUAUAAAUAGAUAGAAAAGAGACAUAAAGGAAGGACAAGGAAAUAAGAUUUUAGUUUAGAAGUUUCACAUACUUUUCCAGGCAUGUCACUCACUAAGGCAGUCUUCCUUCCAGGCCUGUUACUCCCAAAUUCCUGGAAAACCUGUAAGUCUACCUGUGCACUGUUAAUUAGCCCUUCCCCCAAAAAAAUACACCAACAAAGAGAUAAGCUAUCUUGAGGAACCUAUAAUUUAGGGGACUUUGCAGCAGUCCCUAUUGAUCAGAUAAUGAAGACCAUCGCAGCCUGAGGAUCCUGAGAAUGAACAGACCACCAGGACCCACCUUGAGAUCACCAGACUGAUAUCAUUUCUACUUACCUUUCCAUACCUACUCUUCAACAAGUUUCCUUUCAAAGAAAUCCCAGGAACCCUUAAAAUAUGUUUCUCACUCUCCCUUCAAUGUGUAUUCCUUGUUUUACCCCAACGGCAUCCCUCUCUUGAGAUUGCCCUCAUUCUCCCUUGAAUAUGUACCUGCUUUCCUAAAUCAACCUCUGUCUAUGCCUCCAACUGGUGGGUGCUGAAAUUAUUUCUCAUCACAUACGUCAAGAACCUCACUGUUGCUGGAUGCAGUGGCACAUGCCUGUAAUCCCAGUGGCUCGGGAGGCUGAGAAAGGAAGAUCUCAAGUUCAAAGCCAGCGUCAGCAAAAGCAAGGGGCUAAGCAACACAGUGAGACCCUGUCUCUAAAUAAAACACAAAAUAGAGCUGGGGAUGUGGCUCAGUGGUCAAGUGCCCCUGAGUUCAAUCCCCAGUACCAAAAAAUAAAAGAAGAACCUCACUGUUCCUGAGUAGAGCUCCCUCUUCUAUCCAGGAACUCCUUGAUCUUCUUUGGAGACUUAUUUUCUGUGUCAGGUUGGUAGAUGCCCACUCCAAAGAGCCCCAGCUCCUUUUCAUUCCACCAGAGCAUUUACUUUGCGAAAAUUUACUGGGGGCUGGAAUUCUCAGCACCACAUAUAAAUAAAUAAAUAAAAUGAAACAACUAAAAAUAUAUAUAUUAAAAAACUCA